rnacentral:rRNA from 1 species
AUCGAACGCUGGCGGCAUGCUUUACACAUGCAAGUCGAACGGUAACAGGCCGCAAGGUGCUGACGAGUGGCGAACGGGUGAGUAAUGCAUCGGAACGUGCCUAGUCGUGGGGAUAACUACUCGAAAGAGUAGCUAAUACCGCAUACGAUCUAUGGAUGAAAGCGGGGGACCGUAAGGCCUCGCGCGAUUGGAGCGGCCGAUGUCAGAUUAGGUAGUUGGUGGGGUAAAGGCUCACCAAGCCAACGAUCUGUAGCUGGUCUGAGAGGACGACCAGCCACACUGGGACUGAGACACGGCCCAGACUCCUACGGGAGGCAGCAGUGGGGAAUUUUGGACAAUGGGCGCAAGCCUGAUCCAGCAAUGCCGCGUGCAGGAAGAAGGCCUUCGGGUUGUAAACUGCUUUUGUACGGAACGAAACGGCUCUGGUUAAUACCCGGGGCUAAUGACGGUACCGUAAGAAUAAGCACCGGCUAACUACGUG